AACAGGCUGUAAAAUAAACUUAAGAAU
rnacentral:piRNA from 1 species